rnacentral:rRNA from 1 species
UACGGGGGGGCAAGCGUUGUUCGGAAUUACUGGGCGUAAAGGGCUCGUAGGCGGCCAACUAAGUCAGACGUGAAAUCCCUCGGCUUAACCGGGGAACUGCGUCUGAUACUGGAUGGCUUGAGUUCGGGAGAGGGAUGCGGAAUUCCAGGUGUAGCGGUGAAAUGCGUAGAUAUCGGGAGGAACACCAGAGGCGAAGGCGGGCUACUGGGCCGAUACUGACGCUGAUGCGCGAAAGCCAGGGGAGCAAACGGGG